AUGGCCGACGCAGGUCAAAGUGGAUUAUCUGUUCUUAUCAGCUUAAUAUCUGAUACGGGUUCUAUUUGGAUCCAAGAUUAAAUUAAACUUAUUUUUGCAAGUUGGCGGAUUGCUUGAAGCCGGCUUCACCUCCGCCAUGGGUCGCGGCCCAGUAUUGCACUAUCUUCGGCAUUGGCCCACGGUUU